GAAAAUAAAACCACAUUAGGAGUUCCCCUCUUGAGAUCAUAUUGAUGAUCCAAGUAGCUCCCAUCCUUUGGAAUAAGCAGUCACAAACAAAUAUCUCAAGCCAUUAAGCACAGGUAAUCGGAAUAAACCUCCAGGGGGUAUCCCACAAAUAAAGUGGAACACCAGGCCAUCUCUGCAAGAGUCAUGUGAGCCCUCACAAAAAAAACUCAACAAACAGGUUAGAGAGAAAAAAAAAAGGGUAAUCAAGGGUUUCCCCCAAAUCAAAAUGUAACCACAUGAAUCAUGCCCUUUCAAUUCACAAAAAGCUCACAAAAAGCAACCAAGGGUAGGAGGCCUAAACCUCUU
rnacentral:lncRNA from 1 species